CCGGAAGGAAGGCCAUGAUUUCAGCUCUCUGGGAUUUGAGACAAAGAGGCCCCUUUUCUUUCAUUUUAUCUUUUCAUGUCUCUUCUUGCCAUGUACCCACAUGAUUGAGUGUGGGCUGAGGGUGAAUCCAAGAAGGGCUUUGUUUUGUGGUCAGUACAGGCUUUGGUCCACAGAGACAACAAUACUUUCAAUACUCUUUUGUUCUGCCCCAGAGGAGCUCAACACAGAAUUGCCUAGAACAAGAAACUGGUGAGAGAAGCUGCAGCCUGUUGAGACUCCACAAGACUGAAGAUAUGAAAAGAGGAAAUAUGCAUGAAUGCCCGCACGGAGAACCACCCCCACCUGCUGCUCCCGCUCUAAUGAUCACGCCCAUUAUCAACUGGGGGAUGGCUCUGUGCCUUGUCCUUGCAUUACAUGGACCAAGAACACUUCACAGGACUCAGAGAGUAACACUGAAGAAUGCAGUUUACUUACAUCUUUUUCUGUUUGACAGAAGACAGUUAUUAGAACCCGAAAGGAAGAAGCUAUACGACUGGGGACACAUGUCUUAGAAGCACACUCAUUAGAUAAAGUGUCGCAUACUCUUUGAUAAGAAACUCCAGGCUGUCACCCAUCUGUUCUCUCAUCAAAGUAGUUUUGGGCCAGCAACUAUUUCAGACAUUUCUACAGUUUCAGAUGUCUCACUCUGCCUAUGACUGUAUGUUGUACUUGAGGACUGGACGCACAGGGUAAAGUGCAAAUAGCAAGCAUUCAGGUCCAACUCUCCUCCUUCUGGUUAACAAUAUGAAAGAAAGAGGUAGUAUCGGAAUUAUUUUAGUUCAAUGUAGCCAU
rnacentral:lncRNA from 10 species